GAAAAGGGCACAAUAAUGAGUCCCGCUGUUUGACGAAACGGUACCAAGGAGGCAAAACGCUUUGGGAAAGACCCAGGGUUUGGAGGAAGCGACGCCAGAGAGAUGAGAUAUUUUGGAACAAACCCAUGGUUUGAUGAAACGAUGCCAGGGAGGCGAAAUGCUUGUAUACCAGACCCGCGGUGUAGCCAAAGCCACACCAGGGAGGUGAAACGCUGCUGAGAUAGACCCGAGGUUUAACUAAAGCGACAUUAGGGAGGCGAAACGUUGUUGGGACAAACCCGCGGUUUGACGAAGCAAUGCCAGGGAGGUAAAACACUGCUGGGACAAACCCACAGUCUGACAGAGCAAUGCCAAGGAGGUGAAACGCUGCUGGGACAAACCCGCGGUCUGACAGAGCGAAAUGCUGCUGGGACAAACCCGCGGUCUGACAGAGCGAAAUGCUGCUGGGACAAACCCGCGGUCUGAUAGAGCGAUGCCAGGGAGGCGAAACACUUCUUGAACUGACCCCCGGUUUGAGGUUUUAUUGAAAGGGGAGAUAGAGAGAGAGGGGUUUUUACCUUCGAGAUUUCAUUGAGUCAAAAACUCAAUUCCUUUUCCGCCUUUUCCACUGUAGAGAGAGAAAGAUAGCUCCCCCUUUUGAAGCAUUCUUUUGUGAAGUUAUGGCCUCAGCUAGCACUAUUACUCAGGCCCCAAAAGGACAACAUUUCGAGCCUUUUGCAUGAGCAUCAUGAUUGCCGACAGUCAUUACAAACAACCCCUUUGCUUCCAAGUUUCAUUGAGCAUGAACACUACUAUUUUCGGUCAUCUCUUCCCCUGUUUUUGAUUCAUACUACUGUUCUGCCAUGUGAGCAAUGGCAGAGUUGUUUGCAACUGAGUUCUGUUUAUCAAGAACAUUUGAUCUCAAAUUUGUAGAAUACAUCGAUCUUUGAUAUAUGACUCAGUGUCAUGAAUAUCUCUUGAUCAUUCGGAAUUUUUCUGCAUCAUUUCUGGUUCUGCAGCUUAUCCAAGCAUCACCUAUGUGGAUGAAGGAGUUGAUGAUGACCCUGUGAUCAAUGACAAACCCAAGCCUCCAGAUCUUUGGGAAGCUUGUCAUUCAGAAGUGCAGACAAAGUCUAAGGCUGUGCAUAAGGUUUUGAAGGUCAUCAGGCCUGAACCCAUUCUCAUCCAUCAGAACAUGAUAAUAGGCUAUCAAGGUCUUGAUAAAGUAACUUUGUAUGGUUAUUCUUGUUGGCUUGUAAUCUUCAUCAUGGUGGUUGCUUAUUUUUGUAAUUUGGGCAACCCCAAUGUUCAGCACUUGGGUGAACUGCCAAUAUAUCUAGCAGACGAUCAUCUGGUUGGAUCUUCGCUUGUUGUUGCUAUUUAACUACCAUGUGCUUCUUUAUCAUGAACCAGUGGCAAGAAGAAGAAAGGAGUAUCUUUCAUUCUUUUCAAUCUCACUUUGAAAAGAAAGAUACUGCCUCUCUUGAGGAGGUCACAGUUUUGGAAGAAGGAGGUGGUGUAUUGGCUGCCACAUCCAUCAGUUGAAGAUUCAACAAGAAGAGAUCCUUCUAUGUAGAUACUAAUAAUUGUAACCACAGUAUUGUAACCCUUCUUGUUUAUGAAAUGAAAUCUUCACUUUCUUUGCUUC